rnacentral:lncRNA from 1 species
ACAAAACAAAAGCAAAAGCAAAAGCAAAAGCAAAAGAACCUACCGUCUCAAUGUCUUCCAUGUUCACCGUCAUUCUCUUUUUCCCACAAAAUCAUUGCUUUAAACCAAUAUCAUAACACAACGAUCUGUCCCCAAAAUCUAUCAUCUCACAUGCGUCGCACCACAAGGUCUAGCACUAGAUGGAGGGAAAAAUUACUUCCGGAAACGAAGGAAACUAACCCCGCUGCUGAUCAUGGAGAUGAAGGACCCAUCUCCGACGGCUUCUAGAUACUCCACUAUAACAAAUAGUAUGUCAUGGUAAUUUCAAUCGCUUUGUCUUUUGCCCAAUUUAGACAUUGUAACAAUCUGGAAAGGAAUUCAAAUCUUCAAUUUAAAGAUGAGUUAGUGAUUUUUUGAAAUAUUCAGAUCUAAA